rnacentral:lncRNA from 1 species
UCUUGUCUUUCUUAGAAUAUUAGUUAUAAUUGUAAUUUAUAAGCUUUCUUCUUCUGUUCCAUCUACUCUUUCUAUUCCUUAAAAGUUUUUUGUUGUUGUUGUUGUUGUUGUUGUUUUGAUGUAGUCUCGCUCUGUUGCCAGUCUGGAGUGCAGUGGCACAGUCUUGGCUCACUGCAACCUCUGCCUCCCAGAUUCAAACGAUUCUCCUGCCUCAGCCUCCUGAGUAGCUGGGACUACAGGUGCAUGCCACCACACCCAGCUAAUUUUUGUGUGUGUGUGUGUGUUUUUUAGUAGAGACAGGGUUUCACUAUGUUGGCCAGGCUGGUCUCGAACUCCUGACCUCGUGAUCUGCCUGCCUCAGCCUCCCAAAGUCCUGGGAUUACAGGCGUGAGCCACCGCGCCUGGCCAUAAGUUCAUUUUUUAAAGUUUUGGGGGUUUUUUCUAUAUUUUGUAUUGGAAUCUUUCUUCUAUAUGUCUUCUAAUAUCUGGUGACCCUUGGUGGUCUCUUGAUUUAAGAAUGAGGCAAUAAAAAGUCCAUUGCAACCUCUGUGCAUGGCAGGUUGAUUAGGCAGGGCUCUCUUCCUCUUUCCCAAAAUGCUUUUCUCUUGGGAAGCCAGCAGCUCCAAUAACAAAUAUUCUAAUCUCCUCCCUGAAGAUGGUGUACUGUAAGUCUGUCAGCUAGUGUCUAAAGCCAAUGGUAUAAAAAGGCUGGAGACCUCAUUGUUCAAUAUGUAGACUGUCACUGAAUGCCCAAUAGUUGCAGGGUCCAGAGUUGUUCGGGUUCAAUCUCUCCAGAUAGAAGCAUUUCUUUUUUCUGCAAGAAUGGGUCUAUCUAUCAGUCAGGUUAAUUAAAGAACACAGAAACCAAUGUAGAUUUUUUUUUUUUUAGCAGAGAAAGAUUUAAUUCAAGUAAUUAGGAAUUUCCAAAUUUAUUGGAAGGGCUUGAGAAGAAGGCUACACCAGUUCACAGUAUACAACAGUGAACAAAACAGACCAAAACAACUCUUAGUUCAUGGAGUUUACAUUCUAGUGUAGAAAGAGAAGCAAUAAACACAAUAAAAAAGCAAAAUUUGUUAUAUGUUAAAUUUUACAUACUUUAUGAUAAGUGCUAUAGAGAGAAAUAAAGCAGGGAAGCCGGAUAGGAUUUCUGGGACCAUUUAAAAUAGAGUGGUGAAGGAAGGCCUCACUGAUAAGGUGACAUUUGAGUAAAAUCCUAAAGAAAGCAAGGAAGCAGGCCAUAGAGAUAUUUGGUGGAAGGGCAUCUUAGGUAAAGGGAACAACAGAUGCAAGGGCCCUGAAGUGGGAGCAUAAAUUAUGUAUUUAAGAAACAGCAAGGAAGCUACUGUGGCUAAAGCUGAAUGAGAAAAGUGAGGGUCAUAAGAGAUGAGAUCUGAGCAGUAAGAUGGGGAGUGUGUGUGUGUGUGUGUGUGUGUGUGUGUGUGUGUGUGUUUGCAUGUGUGCAAAAUGUAAGGCAUUGUGGACCAUUAUAAUGAUUUUUUUCUCUUGGUGAGGUGAUAUUUUUCCAUUUGAGGAAAGGAAAAUUUGGACAAAGGAAUAACACAGUCUUACUGUUUUAAAAGGCGCACUCUUGGGGACAAGAGCAGGAGUAAACUGAGUGGCUUUCAGAAUAACCUGGACAAGAGAUGAUAGUGGCUUGGACUAUGAUAGUGAUGCAGGUGGUAAAAAGUGAUUAGAGAUAAUUAAAAGAUAACCCAUGAGUAAUUAUGACCCAACUAAGCUUGGGUAACAUUCAUUGGGUAGUUAUUGAUUAACUUUUGUUUUCCUACUCUAGAGGAACUUUCUCUAGUAAUGCCUAGGAGCUGAGGCUGUGAUGGAGAAUGCAAAGGUGACCACCCCAUUGGUGGGGAUUGGUAUGGCUGUAACAGUAAGUGGGCAAAGAUGAUCAUGGCUUGGGCCAAGGUGGUACUAGUAAAGGUGGUGAGAAGUUUCCAGACUCUGGAUUUAUUUUGAAAAUAAAACCAAGAUUUGUUGAUAAAUUGGGCAUGGAAUGCAAGCAAAAGUGAGAAAUCAGUGUGACUGUAGUUUUUUGUCCCCUUUUUUUUUGUUAUUGUUGGAGUUUACAUUAGUGAUAAUGACAAGACUUCAAGAAGAACAGAUUUUGUGGGAAAUAUCAGGAGCUCAUUUUGAACCUGCUGAGUUCGAGAUGCCUUUGAUACAUCUAAAUGUAGAUGCCAAGUUGGCAACUGGAUAUAUGAGCAUAGAGCUCAGGAGAGUUUAAAGAAAAUUUUAUUAGUUAACAUUGUUGAGGUAACUAACAAGCACCAAAUCUCAGUGGAUUACAGCAACAAACGUUCAUUUCCUGCUCUUGCUACAUAUGGGCUACAGAUUGAUUACAGCUCUGCUCUAGGUUGUGGGCCAGCAAAUAGGUCGGAUUCAAGUGUCUUCUAAUCUUGUGCCUAGGCUAAAAGAACAGCCCCUGUCUGUGCUAUACUCGUGGCAAAGGGCAGAAGCAAGAGAGACCAAACUAAUCCAUUCAAUCCAGUUUAAAGAUUCUCCUUGCAUAUGGUGUACACCACGUAUUUCCAUUCUAUUCCAUUCCACCAGCCAAAAAAAGUCACAUAACUCAGCCCUGCAAUGUGGCAAAAAAUGUAUACUCUGCUCAGCAGAGGCAUUUAAAGACAAAUCCAAAGGGUGCGGAUGUAUAAUAGUCAUAGAAGGGAGAAAGCAAGUAGUUGUAAACCAUAAUUUAAUCUACCACAAAGUGAGUAUAGAUAGUGAAGAGAAGAAAUCCAAAGCCUGAGAUAUUUCAAUAUUCAGAGGUCAGGGAAAUAAGGAGAAACCAACAAAGGAGACUGAGAAGGAAGAGAUAGUAAGGUAGGGAGAAACAUUGGAAGUCAAGAAAAGAAAGUGUCUCCAGAAGAAAGGAGGGAUCAGCUGUGUCCCAUACUGCUCAUAGGUCAAGCAAGAUGUGGGCUGACAUUGACCAUUACAUUUAGCAAUGUGGAAAUAUUGAGUGAUAGUGAUGACAGAGUUAAUGGCAUGGUGGGGGAUGCUAUGGUUUGAAUGUCUGUCCCCUCCCACACAAGUUGAAGUUUAAUUGCUAUUGUGACAGUAUUAAAAGGUGGGAUAUUUAAGAGGUAAUUAGGUCAUGAGCACUCUACCCUCAUGAAUGGAUUAAUGCCAUUAUCUCAGAAAUAGAGUUGUUAUCGUUGGAGUAGAAUCCUUAUAAAAGGAUGAGUUCAGCUCUGUUUUGUCUCUCUCACCCUCUCUUUGCCCUUCUGCCAUGGGAUGCUGUCCACCAUGGGAUGAUGCAGCAAGAAGGCCCUGGCAAGAUGCACUUUUCAAUCUUGGACUUCCCAGCCUCCAGAAGUGUGAGCCAAUAAAUCUCUGAGGGUUCUGUUCUAUGUCAUUUCCUUUGAAGUCAGUGGGAACUCUGUGCAGGACGGCAACAUGAACACCGGCCUCUAUACAUGAAGGCCAUCAAGUGGUUAACAUAUAGACAGUAUUUAAAUCCUUGGGACUGGAUGAGAUUACCAAGGGAGGAAAUGUAGAUGAAGGAGAAGAGAAAGGAUGGAGUUCUGGAGCACUACAAAUUUAAGAGACUGGGGAGAAGAGGAGAAACCCAGAAAAUCUACCUUGGAGAUCACUGCGUAAUACUACACUGGGAGCAGUAUCAUUCUUUGAAAUAAUAAUUAUAAUGUAAUAUAAUAGUUAUAAACUAUUCCAGUGUGUGAACAUGCCCUUUAUUCAAGCAGUUCUCUACCAGUAGCUUCUUAACUGGUCUUCCUGCUCUCAGUUUAUCCUUACUCCAAUCCUUUGUAAAUACUGCUUAUGCUAACCUUGGAUUAAUCUUAGUUAUUUAUGCCUGCAUGAAAAAUGGAAAAAUUGGACACAUAUUGCAUUUAUAUAAUGAAAUACAAUGCAGUUUAUUAAAAAUCAUGUUGAAAAACCCACAACAUAAUGUUGAAUUAAAAAAACAUAAUCCCAGUCUACACACACACACACACACACACGUGCACACACAUAAAUAUAUGACCAGAAAUAAAAUGCUGUACAUUUAGCCAUCAAAGUUUAACAUAUUUAUGGAUGAUGGAUUUCCAAGUAAUUUUUAUUUUCAUUUUUUAUUUUACUAUUAUGUAUGUAUGUAUGUAUGUAUGUAUGUAUGUAUGUAUUUAUUGAGACAAAAUCUCACUCUGUCACCCAGGCUGGAGCGCAGUGGUGCGAUCUCGGCUCACUGCAACCUCUAUGUCCCAGUUUCAAGAGAUUCUCCUGCUUCAGUCUCUGAGUAGCUGGGAUUAUAGGUGCACGCCAAUUUUUAUUCUAUUUUUGGUGGUUUUCUGUGUUUUGCAAAUUUUCUUCAUAAAAAAAGAAAGAUUUUUAGAAAGCAUACUUUAAUCAUGUUGCUUCACGGGAAACCAGCUUUGAUUCUUUACUGCCUAAAAAGAUAAUGUCCAAAUAUCUUAAUUUAGUAGUGAAGGCCCUUCAGAGCAGAGGCCCAACCUACUUACUCAAAGUUUUCUCCUAGUUGGCACAAACCCUUUGUUGCAGUUAAAAGGAUCUGCUCAAGGUCUGCUAGAUGUGCUUGGUACUUUGCUGCAUCUGUACUUUUUUUUUAAUGCUAGGAUCCUUUUCAUGUCCCU